rnacentral:tRNA from 1 species
CAUCCGGUAGUUCAGCUGGUAGAAUAGGAGACUAAAAAUCUCAGUGUCGUGGGUUCAAGUCCCACUCGGAUGA